rnacentral:tRNA from 2 species
GGAGAGGUGGCCGAGUGGUUGAAGGCGCAGCACUGGAAAUGCUGUGACAGGGUAACUUGUUCGAGGGUUCGAAUCCCUCCCUCUCCG